GCUAGACAGAAGAUUUAGAAGCUAUACCUACACUCCUAUACGCAUGUAGUAUGACGUUAGACUGGUGUGAAACUCGGAAAAGUAGAUUGAAAAGAAAAAGCUAUAAAAACGUUUAAACAAAUGUGUUACCGUGAAUUUCUGAAUUUUUAAGAAACAUUACGGAAAAAAGAUAACUUCGGCAAACUAUACAAAUUAUACGAAAGAUAUAUGAUAGUUUUUGAAAGUUGAUUAUUAAAGGUUACGUAUACAGGAGUAAAAAUUGAAAUAUUGAAGAAAA